rnacentral:lncRNA from 1 species
UCCUGGGGCAUGAUUCCUCUCUACAACUGAGCUGAGACAAGUACAGGGACUUAAAGGGUAAAAGUAUAAUUUGGCCAAAUAGGAAUUACACAGUUGAGAAAGCCUGCUGCAGCAAACACAGCCUGCCUAUCCCCACACCAUCCGAAUCCAAGAUGAUUUUUGCUACCAGAGUAGUUCCAGUUACAGAGGAUUUCUUUCCCCAGAAACCACAGUUACUCAAGAGUCAAUCAAUUUUGAGCACUUACUGACAGCAGAUGACAUAGGAACAACUCGAAUAACCAUGAUUUGAGGAACUGACCUGGUAUCAGCUAUAGGAUAAGACCCAGCCAAAAAGAAGAUAUGGGCUCUUCAGCACUCGCAACAGCCUCCUAAAUGUCUUCCCUAAAAAUAUUAAACUGAAUCUAUUUAAAA